rnacentral:misc_RNA from 1 species
CUCUACUUCAACAGCCAACUAUGCAAGAUAGUGAUGAAGAAUUGGAAUAUGCUGAUAGUAACAGUGGAAUAUUAGAUUCGUCAAUUUCAGGUACUAUGGAUUGGGGAGAUGACAUCUGAACCAGCAUCAGAGCUUGGGCCUGGUGGUGCUGGUUAUGUUUGGUCAAUCUCUGAAGGAGGUCAUGAAGAUGAAUGGAGGCAUUCAGUGGCAC